CUACGGGCCGCUGCAGUAAGGAAUAUUGCGCAAUGGAGGCAACUCUGACGCAGCCAUGCCGCGUGCAGGAAGAAGGCCUUAUGGGUCGUAAACUGCUUUUAUUUAGGAAUAAACCCCCGAACGUGUUCGGGGCUGAAGGUACUAAACGAAUAAGCACCGGCUAACUCCGUGCCAGCAACCGUGGUAAUACGGAGGGUGCAAGCGUUAUCCGGAUUUAUUGGGUUUAAAGGGUGCGCAGGCGGGCUAUUAAGUCAGUGGUGAAAUCCCGGGGCUCAACUCCGGAACUGCCAUUGAUACUGAUAGUCUUGAGUUUGGUUGAAGUGGGCGGAAUGUAGCAUGUAGCGGUGAAAUGCAUAGAUAUGCUACAGAACACCAAUCGCGAAGGCAGCUCACUAAGCCAAAACUGACGCUCAUGCACGAAAGCGUGGGGAUCAAACAGGAUUAGAUACCCCUGUAGUC
rnacentral:rRNA from 1 species